rnacentral:rRNA from 1 species
AGCACGUUAUGGUGGGCACUCUAAGGAGACUGCCGGUGACAAACCGGAGGAAGGUGGGGGAUGACGUCAAGUCAUCAUGGCCCUUACGGCCUGGGCUACACACGUGCUACAAUGGUCGGUACAAAGGGUUGCCAAGCCGCGAGGUGGAGCUAAUCCCAUAAAACCGAUCGUAGUCCGGAUCGCAGUCUGCAACUCGACUGCGUGAAGUCGGAAUCGCUAGUAAUCGUGAAUCAGAAUGUCACGGUGAAUACGUUCCCGGGCCUU